GCCCGCUUGGCUCAGGGGUAAAGCGUAUCACUCGUAAGCAAUGAUAAGAUCGGUCGUUCGAAUCGGCUAGUGGGCA